rnacentral:rRNA from 1 species
GAGAUUCCCCCAGUAGCGGCGAGCGAACGGGGAGCAGCCCAGAGCCUGAAUCAGUGUGUGUGUUAGUGGAAGCGUCUGGAAAGGCGUGCGAUACAGGGUGACAGCCCCGUACACAAAAAUGCACAUAUUGUGAGCUCGAUGAGUAGGGCGGGACACGUGGUAUCCUGUCUGAAUAUGGGGGGACCAUCCUCCAAGGCUAAAUACUCCUGACUGACCGAUAGUGAACAAGUACCGUGAGGGAAAGGCGAAAAGAAC